CUUUGGCUCUGUGGCGUCUGGGAGGUGGCUGCGGGUGCCAGGGCAGACGGAGGCUGGAGGCGGGAAGCGGGUAGUUGGGCCUGGGAUCUGCGCCCAGGAGAAACCGGGGUCCUGUGUCCGCUCAGUUUUUCUGCUGCCUGCGCAGAGAUCGCUCCGAGGCUCUUGGGUUGCCUUUUCCGGCCUGUGCCUGUGGUCACCCCACCCCGGCCUGCAUGGAGGUUAAACUAGAAGUUUUAUUAUCGACAAGUAUCAGACAGAAAAAACCUUGGCCUCGAAUUUCCUGGCUCGGACAGGAAAAGGAAGCUAUUUUCCUUUUGGAUGAUAGGCAUGUAAAUGAAAUUAAUUUGCCAUCUGGAAAGACAAAGAAGAAAAUUCCUCGUCUACAGCUUUUGCUGAAAAAUGUUGUCAUCUUAACAACUUCCAGUAAUGAUGCUUGGCUAGCUGGAAUACUUAACACUGGUGAAAUUUUUCUUUGGAAUAAAGAUCAUGACUGCUUGAAAACUGUAUCUGCAACUGAAGAAUCUAAGACACUGAUAACGGCAGCCUUAGAAAGUUCUCUGAGACUCUAUAUCUAUAUAUCAGGAGAUGGGAAAAGAAUUCUGCUUGCCAUACCUUCUGGAUUCAUCUUACUAUGGGAAUGUUUGGAGUCCAAGAAUAUUUUAUAUUCCAAAAAUUCUUCACUUUUGGGCCAGUGGUCACAAAUCAAACCUGAAGAAUCAGUUAUUUUGCCUUCUUCUGAAGAUAAAGAAGCUGUAGUGGAUGCUAUUUUUAUAAGAAAUGAGUUGCUUGGUGAUUGCUGCUUAUGUUCAUUUACUUUUUAUUCUGGGGAAUAUUUGAUGUUAACACUUUUGGCACUUCAGUGGCCUGAAAAUAUAUCUCAAUCUAUUAGUUUGUUGUCAUACCAAGUCCAUUGGGCACAUCAAGAAUGUUUUCUAUGCACUCUGGUUCCUAAAUGUGAAUCAAUAAAAUCAAGAGGAGCCUUGAUUAUAGCAUUUUCAAGGGAUGGCCUUACCCUGGCAGUAACUCUUAAUCAAAAAGAUCCAAAGGCAACACAGAUACUAUUUAUAAACAUACUGAAUUUUGUUACUCUCUGUGGUAGUCUUAAAGGCUGUAGUAAUAAGAAUCCUGUGGUUCCAUCCAAACUCAUUAGAUCCUACUGGGUGGGUGAUAUCAGCUGGACCCAUGAUAGCCUUUUUCUGGCCUGUGUAUUAAAACGUGGCUCCUUGGUUCUAUUGACCUGUUUGGGUGAAUUGCUAACAUUGGUUACAUUUGGUUGCUCAAUAGAAUUUGGACCAGCAGAAUUUAUUCCUCUUCAUCCACUAAUAACAUAUAGACCACAGCAAUUUGUACCUCAAGAUUCAAGUUGUUCCCUUGAUUCAACAGCCUCUGAUAAUGAUCUGAUGAGGCAGAGAUUUUCUGUAAAAACACACUCAAGAUUACCUUACCUGAUUGUCUCUGAUGGAUAUAUGGUUACAGUACUUCGAUUUUUUGAUAAUCUAUCCCCAUCAGUACUUAUGAAAUCUUAUUUACUUGAAUCAUCCCAAAGGCUUGAGAAAAUACAUCAAGGUCUGACAUGUCAGUCUAAAAGAAAGAAUCUGAGAUUAAGAUCAUUGGAGUCCCUCCGGGCUAGUCUGUUAAAGCAUCAGGGAAACCAAAGUUCAGUUGCCUCUGCCACCCCGAGAUUCUUGCAGGCAGAGGAAGAAGUAGGAGAGUUGACCGAGAAAAUGGCAGAUUUGCAGGAUUAUGAAGUAGAAGAAAGUAAUAAUAGUAAACAGUUUAUCAACAAUUUUCUCCCCUUUUGGAGUCAGAAAAGUGAUUCUUUGUUUAAUGAAAUUGAAGAAGGAAGAUUGGAAUUUGCAUCUAUGUUUGAUACUAUUCAUGCAAAAGAUGAUACUAAAGAAAAUGAUGCGAUCAUAACAGAACUACAUUCUAUCCAGAAAAAUCUCCUUGCAGCCUGGAAUAUUGGAAUUUCAAAAAACGUGGAAAACAAACAAUUAAUGUUAAAUUACAUAGUCAUCUGUAUUACUCAUUUUCUCUAUGUUCUCCAGUUUGUAAAAUUGCCUUCUCCUAAACAGAAUCUUCCUUUAAAUAAGACUCUCAGACAUAAUUUGUGGCUGCAGUGUGUCUUUCGACUUUUUCAUCAGUGUUUAUCUGUUCAGUAUUGGGAUCUAAGAUACAGACAGGAUGUGGGACAUUUGGUAAAGCUGACAUCACAAACUCUGAAGCUGAUGUUCAUUCAACAGCAGCAUGAUCAGUUAUUCUCAGAUACCCUUUUAGGUUGUUUCAACUUACUUAAGAUGGUCUCUGACAGUCUAAAUAGCAUAUAUUCUCUACAGCAUCAGGUGAUUUCAACAGCUGAUGGAAAUAAGAUAGUAAAUCAUGAAUCAUUGGUGGUACCUAUUUUUCAAAAAUUUUCUCACAAUUGUACUCAGAAAUCAUGGCCAUGGAAUUCUUUUUUAAAGAUACCUCCUCCAUCUAUAAAUCUUGUUCAAAAGCCAAGCCACAGGUUAUCCAUCCUUUGGCAGUUAUUGUACAAACAAACUUUGUGGUAUCAAGCUCAUCUAAGCAGGAUGGACCCUAAGGAUGAUAGACAAUUGACUGAAAAGAUAGCGCUUGAAGAAUCUAUUGCCAGAUCCUUGUUAUGCCACAUACAAGCUAAUCUACAGACAGCAGGAUAUUGCUUAAACCAAGCCUUGGAGCUUAAACCUGUAAUUGGUGAGGAAUACUUUCUUUUGGGAUCAUAUGAAGAAUCUAUUCAGCUAUGGAAGAAAGCACUACAAGAAAUCAGAACAACAGGAGGAAAGAGGACAUGCCUUCUUCAGACACGCUAUUAUCUUGCUCAAUUGUAUUGCCAUCUCUAUUGUUAUAAUUUAAACGAUGCUCAAGGAAUGUGUGAUCAGUUGGUAAGAGAAAUACUGAGACAGUCUCAGAUGCCUAUUAAAGAAGAGGAAUAUUUUCCAGAGAGUUUUCAUUGUGCUUUUGGAAUAAUUGGAAAUGUUCAUCCUGAGGCUGCAGUUGUGGUUGUUAAGUGCAUGGCAAGAUUCAUGGCUGCCUAUUUCACCAACCAGAAGCUUUAUGUGCUCCCACCUCACAAUGUGGAUGUUCUUCCUCCACUUCACAUAGAAUCAGAACAGUCUGUUCGAAUCAUUCCUCUGCAACACUCUAAGGUGGCAAGUGUUAUUAGAGAUCAAAAUCUCUCUUAUGUGUGGACAGUUGAAUAUGCUCUUGAAUUGCUAUUUAUCACUGGGUUGGUCCCAGAGGCUGUGUGGCUGUCUCACAGACUUGGUGAUUGGAAGAUGGCAGUUUCAAUUGGGUUAGCCUUCAAAUUAUGCUAUAAAAGUAACAGCAUUUUAUCAAGGUGUAAGAAAAAGGAUUUAAUUCUACCUUUAAACAUGACUCCAACACGAACUUUUCAGGAAAAACUGCAGUAUUUUUUAGGUCAGCCAGCAUCUUUGGAAGUGGCUCACGAGUUGGGUCCUAAAUAUAAACAGUUUACCGAUCCCAUUGAAGAAGAAGAUGUACACCUACUUUUUAGUUCCAUACAAGAAGUAUUGAAAGCAGCAGUUAUGGCUGAUGCUGAUAUCCUCUCAGAGACAUUUCAGCUUUUGAUAGACUCAGCCAAAGACUUCAGUAAGAGAUUAUGGGGCCUGGUACCUGUGGGCUUGUAUCUUCCCUCUCCUCCAUUAUAUUGUCCUCAGCCAGCUGUUCUUAGUGAGGACCAUGGUGAUGAUCUCUUGUUAAAAGCUGAGAAAGAUUAUCGCCAGAAAGUGUCUGGCAUUCUUCAGCGAAUUCUUCUGCUCUUCCGGGCAGCUUGUUGUUCCUUCCCUGCAGCUCAGUGGUACAUCUUAAAAUUGAGAUGGGCAAGAAAAGUCAUGCAAAAGAUUCGAAUUAAAGGCUUCCUUCCUUCAUUGAGUCCUUUUCCAGAGUCUUUGCUUCAUUAUUGUAAAGUUGGUAUGGCAUUCUAUCAACCUGGAGCCUCUCAAGACCAAAAGCUUGAUGAAGUUUCUUGUAAAACAAUAGGUUGCUUCAGAGAACUCUGUGCUCUGUGUUGGAUGCUUCAUGUCCGGGAAAAGUUGUCUUACAGUUGUAGACAAUAUCAGAUAGCAAGAGAAAAUAUGGAAAAGAAAAAGGAUAUGGAACUGGAAUUUGAUUCUUGUAUGGUAGAGCACUGUCUCAGUGCACUGGAAUGGGCAUGUAGAAUGUUGCCAUUCUCUAGGUUUAUGAAUAUUGAAGAACUUGUGCAGGAUAUAAUUUUGAGUCUUAUAGGAGAACUACCACCCACCAGAAAGGUUGCAGAAAUUUUGGUGAAAGCCUUCCCCAAUUCUGAAGAUAUUCGAGUACCUUUAAGAGAUAAAUAUAAUUCUCUCCAGCAGAGACUCAGACAUUGUACUGUGAAAGGUCCACAAACUGAAGAAAUGAUGUCUGUUAUUAUGCAUUCAAUUCACAAAGUAAGAGUGAAAGCUCUGAAAAGAGUAAGGAGGAAUAUAGGCCCUACUGAAAUGAAUAUCUGGGAACCACCUGAAGAAGAGACCACAGAUAAGGUUCAUACUUACAAUGGGUUUUCACUUGAGACUAGUUUAAGCAGAAGUACUUUUACUGAAGGAGAAGAUUCUGUGGCUCAUAGUGAAUCUGGAACUGUGGAUACUUUCUCAAAAGCUUUGCCAUCUGAAAAAAAAAUAAAGAAUACCCAGCAUCAUGCAGAAUCUACAUUGAUUAAUACGCAUGACAGUAAGAAGGAAAAAAUAAAUUCAGAAGACUAUCCUGAAAGCAAAGGUGAUCAUGAAAAUUUACCCAGAGAAAAUCCAGUUCCUAUAGUAGGUGUUUGGGAAUUUGAACGUGAUGAUGAUGAAUAUAUUAAAUUUCUCGAUCUAUUCUUAAGUUAUGUACUUGAAAGAGACUUGAUUGGUUCAAAUAAUUCUAGUAUUCCUUUUCUAAGUAGCUUUUCAGCCCAUCUUAAGGAACAUGAACUUAAUUCUUUGCUUUUUGAUGUUCACACAACAUUAAAACGUCGUCAGGGUAAACCCAAAAGCCAGAAUAUUUUCAGAGCUGGCUCCUGCUAUGUUAUUAUUCCUGAGUCUUGUGAAUCUGAAAAAUCAUCCACUUUGAAUAGUGAAAACAUCAGAGAUUUGGAAAAUCAAACAUCUACACCUUCAGUAUUAGUUGUUCAAGGACCUAGAUCUUUUAUACAGAAUUCUUCGAUUAAAGUAAUUCAAAACAUGGAAAAGAGAGGCUUGUUUGGUUUAAAAGAAAAAUCAGUGUACAGAACCAGAGAUGACAAUAGAGAGAUGCCCACACUCCACAGAUUAUCAAAACAAGUUUUUCUUCCACAAAACUUUAAGACUCCAAAAUUCGCUUACAAAGCAGUUCAAUGGGAUGACAUCAUUCCUCAUGAAGAACUUCCUCUAGAACUAAAGAAUAAAUUUGGCACUAUAGCAAAAUUACUGGAAUGGAUGAUAAGAUGGUCUGAUAGAAGAUUGCUGUGUGAUUCCACCAAACCUGAGCCAUCCUGUCAAUACAGCCCUGUCAUUCGUGUGAGAACUUCAGCAGCUGCCAUUCUCACAUCCCUAUGGCUUUUAGAACAGUCAUAUGCUAGACAGCAAACAAGUCAUGUUACCUGUAAGGUUCCAGAGAAUCAUUAUUUUGUUCCUUCUGUGUCCUUGCCUGAAACUAAACCCAAUAUUGAGAAAGAAAGCAGUGUGGAUACCAGCUGUCCAGCAUCAGUGCUUGUUCUAAAUGAGAUCCAGGAAGUCCAUAAUAGUGAUGGACCUUAUGACAACAUUUUGGAUAGAAUAACAACUCAUUCAAAAGAGCCUGAAAUAAAAGAACUCAUUGAAGAGAGCAUUUCUGUUACUCAUUGUACUGAUAAAGAAUUUACAGAUUUUGAUGAUGAUAUUCUAGAAGAAAUGGAAGCAUUCAUGCAGGAGGAAAUAAAAGCGCAAGACUGUAGAGAGAAUUCUGGAGAAUCAUUUGGAAGUUUAAAAAACACUGCUAUUUCCGUCAGCCUCAUGCCAUUAGAAGGGCAAGUAGAACAGCAUUCCAGAAAAAAGGUUGAGUCUUCAUUGAAAGAAUCAGUGGAAGAAUUAGUGAAAAUAUCACUUGAGCAGAAAGGUAUGGUUGAAACUGUUGCUGACACUAAGCUCGUCAUUCCUCAAUCGUUCUGUUUAGAUUCAAGUGCAGAUACUCCUAGCAUACAAGUUUCUGCACCAAACGACCAGUCUUCCUUACUUCCAACUUUGGUUUCGGAUCCAACCAGUGUUUCCUCAAAUACUCCUAUUUCAAAACGUCACAGGCGUCACAAAAAUGAGUCCCGUGAGCAAAUGCCAAAUUCUUCAGAACCUGUUAGACAGAUGCUCCAAGAUGAAUUAUUUAGACUGGUUCAGUUGCAGCAGAUCAACUUUUUAAGUCUAAUGCAAAUAGUAGGAUCAUCAUUUUCCAGCCUUCCCAAUAUCCAACUCACACAGCAGCACUUGGAGGGCAGCCAAAUUUCAGGUGCCACAGGAGGCAGUGGUGAUGUUGAACACUCUGUUAAAAAUCUUAACAAAGACUUGCAACUUAGAUCCAAUGGAGAAAAUUCCAGACAAUUUGAAAAGAGAAGACCUCAUCAUGAAGGAAUUGUCCAUUCUGAUCAGAAUAAAGUCAGACAUAUUCAGAAUAUUCCAUCCUUUUGUGCUCCCUCAGGUCAUUUAGAUGUCUCAUCUAAAAAUGAAGGAGUAAUUCCACAAGGUCUGGGCUCAUCCACUCCAUGUUCUCCAACUGUUGCUGCAAGCAAUCCUUUUCAUCUGUUGUCUACCACACCCACUGUUGAUAAGAGCCCUAUGCUUAUUCCAGCUGUAAAAACCUUAAAUCCUGCCAAUGGCUUUCCUUUGCUCAAGAUCCAAAUGAAGCCUGAAUUCAAGCCCCUCCCUGUCCAUCCAGUAAGAACCCCACAGGUUCCAUUCAGACCUCCCCCAGAGCCAAAAGAGGCCUGGGGGUUAUCCAGCUCUGGAAAAAAAUAUCUUUCACUGGCCCAGGAUAUCACUUCAACAUCCCAUUUGAAUUUGAAUCAGUAUGAUGUGGAAACUGUGCAGAAAGCACUUGAACAGAAGAGAUGGGCAGAAAUAAUAUCCAGAGAAACCCCUAAACAUCUCAACUUAGAUCAAUACAUUGACCAAGAAAAAAUGACACCUCAACAGGACUCUGCAGCAAAAAGACAAGAAAAAGCAUUUGAUGUGAAACCAGAGCCUUCCGAGAUGCAUAAUCAGGAUUUUCUUGGUGUACCUUUGCUACACCUACAAUUUAAUCCUACUAUGUUUUCAACAGCCUCGAGAACAUCAUUUGCUACUCCUUCAAUCCCAAGUAGACCUAAAGAAAAAGAAAAAGACUUAAAAGAAAUCUUAUACCCAAGUAUAAAAUUACUUCAUACUUGCUUACCCCCAGAACACAAGUGCCAGAAACCAAAAUUCAUCCCAAUUGAAAAUCUCCUUGCAUUUAAACAAAGCCAGCAGAAACAAUCAUUUAAUUUAUUUGAACAUGGGAAACUUAGAAAUAUCCACCUUUUAAAGGCCAAAAUAGAACCUAAAAUGGAUAAUAAAAAAAGAGAAAGAAGACGGGCUAAGAAAGAACUUGAAGAAAAGAGUUCAGAGAAACAAGAGAAAAAAUGUGUGACAUUCCAAUCAGAGGAUUCCAUUAUUAAUCACAAUGAUUUCAAAGUAGUUAUGAAACAAGAGGAUCAGCAAGAGCAACCUAUUCCUCAGGCUACUGAUAGUUUUGUAAUUCCUUUGGAAUCACUAGGAAAGGAUAUCUCUACUUCAGCUGCAUUACAUUUUAUGGCUUCUGUAAAAAAGAAGGUGGUGGAAAAUCAAGAUGCAAGUACAAACACAGAUCCAGUACAAGAAUAUUCGAACAUUCCUCAGAUGUUGGCCCCUGAUGUGUAUUUAAAUCUCAAAUUUCCCUGUGAAACAUCAAAUAUAUCUGUGCCACCUGAUCCUACAUCUAAUGUGGUUGGACACAAUUAUAUAAAUGUGAUAGACAUUGAAGCUAGUGAUCUCCUUCAGGAAUUGCCUGAUAGAGAAGAGACUACAGAUGAUAUUGUUAACAAAAAGGAAAGUGACAACCUGGAAAUUCCAUCUUCUGCAAAUUUGCACUACAUGGCAGCUUCUGUUACCAAUGCAAUUCCUCCUGACCAUUUUCUGAGUAAAGAUCUGCCCAAAUUACAAGUUCAGGUCCAAGAAUCUACUGUAAAAUCAGAUGGUGUAGAAGACUAUUUAACCUGGAAACAAUGCCAGGAUUUCAGCACUACACCUUGUACAGUACCAUCGAAAAAAGGUCUUGAUAUAGAGCAUCUUAAUUCUAAACUCCUGGAAAUAGAUGAAAAACUACUUGUCCUGCAGGAUAUUGCAGCUACUGUAGAGGAAGAUUUUAGCAACACUAAGUUGGUAGACCCACCCUGUGCCCUGGUGGAGACAGAAGACAUUUUGGAAUUGUCAUCUCCUCCAGAAGUGCAUAAAGUGACGGCAUUCUCACAAACUUGUAGAAGUCCUGAAGAAGUCUAUUCUUUUAACCAUCAAAUUGAUGAAGAAGUAGAUGAAGAAGAGGUGGAAGAGGAAGAAGAAGAAGAAAAAGAAGAAGAAGAAGAAGAAGAAGAAAAAGGAGAAGAUGCUCCAGUAAUUGAAUUUACUGAAACAAAGCAUACUCUGUGGAAAUCUUGUUCCUUUUCUUCUGUCAUUUCAUCUUUUAAUGUUUCCAGUGACAAGUUUACUUCUACUGGUGCAGAUAGUAGUGAAGAUUCUGUUGGAAGUGUUUUAGCAGAUUUGCAGAUUUCUGGACUAACUGAUGUUGCUGACAUAAUUAACGAUCUGAUCACUGAGAGUGGCAUAUCUAGUGAAGAGCUUGGUUUAACAGAAUACCAGGCUAAGAAACUCUCCAGAAUCCAUAGCACCCCAAAGAGGAAAAAAUCACAAAGAACAGAGAAGGAGAAAAGAGAAAUAAGAGCCUGGAUGAAAAAAAAGAGAAAGGAGAGAAUGGCUGAGUAUCUAGCACAGCUGGCUGUGAAGAGGGAGCAAGAACAUGAACCGUUUCAGUCUCCAAGGAAGCAGUUGUGUAUGACUUCAAAGGAAAUUAGGAUGUGUCAGAAGAUGAAGACUGAAAAAGACAGAUUGCAGCUGUCUGAGCACUAUCAUCGUCGAGUGGCACAAGCGUAUAACCUAAUGAAUGAACUGUUGGUUGAGUCAGCCCAGACAACAGGAAUAUCUCCGACAAAGCCACCAUGUGGCCCAGCUAAGUCUUUUCGCAUUUCCACGAGGCAGCGCCAUCUUCCUCCAAGAGGAGUGGACCAUAACAUUCAUACAUCAUCACCAGGAAGAAAUACAAAAGUUAGAUUUGCUCCCAAACCUACUUAUAUUCAUGCAAGAAGCCCUCCCAGACAACAUCAACAUUCAUUUCCACGAAAUAGAAUGGCGACUGUUUCAAUAAAGAAAACAAACCAAGUUAACAAAAGGAUGGCACAAAAUGCAUCAAGCUCUUCAGACCUCUCCAGAGAAGACUUUGGUUAUCCAUGUCCAAGAGCCAGAUCUAUAAAAGACUCUAAAACUAGUUCAACCACAACUAAUACAGAAGAAUACGGCAGGCAACACAGUCUAGCAAAUUCCUGGGCUCUGCCUGAAGAGAUCGACAAGAUUCUCAGCAGAAGUCCAAACUCCUCCCUUGAGGACAUUUCACCACCUGAAGAUGAAGGGUUUCCCAUAAGCAUCAAUGGCCUGGAUAGUGGAUCUGAGAGCACUGGCAGCAUCCUUAGCAAGAUUGACUGGCGUGCUGUCGAUGACAUGGUGGCCUCUGUAGAAAACAGGUGAAACAAGGAGCUCAGGAAGGAACUCCAAGCAGGGCAUUCAACUAUGUGUCCAAUUGGAUUAGGUACACAGUGAGACCAGAAACUUGAGCCAAAGCUGGGGCCACAAUGUGAGUAGUCCCUGACCUGAUCAACUCAAAGUGAGACCAAAAAUUUAUGCUCAAGCCUGAGGCACGACUUUAAGGUGUCAGGGUUAAUUGAAUCAGCAGUGGGAGGAGGCCCUCAGAGCUAUCAGCUCUUAGGCCAUCAUACCAUCUCAGAAGAAUUGAAACUGGCAGAAACCUAGAAAAAAAGGUAAAGCUAUCAGGAAGGAUUGAAGUUUAAAAGGGUACCCUAAACUCCCGGAAAACAGAGCCUUCCUAUAAAAAGGUAGGAAAAAAUGAGCAAACACCAAAAAAAUACCACAUAACUCUAAAGACUUUUUAUGGAGACAAAGAGUACAGAUACAGAAAGGGACAGUGAAAGCAAAGCAAACACACAUAAAAUUGAAAAGAAAAACAUGGAUUGGACACAGAUUCUGGAAGAGCUGAAAAAAAGACUUCAAAAUCAGGCUUUAAAAUCAGAAUUGAACAACUAGAAUUUAAUGAUUUUGUAAGAAAUCAAGAAAUAAAAUCAAAAGAAUGAAAAAAAAAACAAAAUAUCUUAUUGAAAAAACUAAUCUUUUAAAUAAAGGAGAGACAAUUUAAUAAUUAUUGGUCUACCUGAAAGCUAUGAUAAAAAAAAAGCUUAGACAUCAUAAUACAAGAAAUUAUUGAUAAUAAAAAAGAAACUGAAAAAAUACACAAAUCACCUCCAGAAAGAAAUCCUCAAAUGACAACUUCCAGGAAUAUUCCAGCUAAAUUCAAGAACCUACCAAAUCAAGGAGAAAAUGCUGCAAGCAGGUAGAAAGAAACAUUUUAAAUACCAUGGAGCUACAAUCAGGAUCACAUAGGACUUAGCAGCUGCCACAUUAAAGGAUCAGAAGCCCAAGAGGAUUUCUGGCAAAUGGACCACUGGCAGAUGAUCUCUGGACUCAGGGAAAUUGGUUUCCUCUAAAUAAAUUCUCUAACAAGAAGUUAAGAAUUUCUUCAUGAAAUUUUAAGUAUCUUUGGAAAAUCUCUCAGAGCAAAACCUCCUUCAGCUUGGUGGAAAUUUUGGCAGAGUCCAAUUUACUUCCAGCUCCAUGGAAAUCCAAGAAGGAAGUCAAGUCGGUUAUUUUCAGUUAAAACUCCCACAAUUCUCUUCUCCUUCCCAGAAUUUUCUCCCAGAGCUUGUAUCAAAAUUCUCUUCUUUUAGCUAAUCCUUGAAACCAGUCUAUCCCCAACUUAUAUUCCUACAAUAGGAAAUAAUGUUCCAAAUCACUAUUGAUUAGAGAAAUGUAAAUUAAAACUGAGGUACCACCUCACACCUAUUAGAUUGGCUAAUAUGACAGAAAAGGGAAAUGACUAAUGUUACAGGAGAUAGUGGGAAAAUUGGGACACUAAAAUACCGUUGGUGGAGUUGUGAACUGAUUCAAACAUUCUGGUGGACAAUCUGUUAACUGUGCCCAAAGAGCUAUCAAACUGUACAUACCCUUUGACACGGCAACAUCACUUCUGGACCUGUAUCCCAGAGAAAUUAAAAGGUAAAGAGAAAAGGACCUAUUUGUACAAAAACAUUGGUAGCUGCUCUUUUUAUGGUGGCCAAGAACUGGACAUUGAAGUGAUUGCAUCAGUUGAGAAGUGGCUGAACAAGUUGUAGUAUAUGAUUAUAACAAAAUACUGUUGUGGUAUAAGAAAUGACAAGCAAGAAAACCUAGAAAGGCUUACAUGAACAUUUGUGAAGCGAAGUGAGCAGAACCAGAACACUGCAAACAGUAACAGCAUCAUUGUUCAACUGUGAAGGGCUGCAAUGCAAUUAACCAAGACAAUUUCUAAGGACUCGUGACAAAAAAAAAAUGCCAUCCUCCUCCAGAGAAAGAACUGAUGGAAUCUGAAUGCUGAUCAAAGAUUACUAUUUUCACUUUUUUUUCUUUUAUCUUCUUCCACAACACAACUAAUGUAGAGAUAUGUUUUGCAUGAUUCCAUAGGUGUAACCUAGUUCAAGUUGCUUGCUGUCUCAGAGAGGAAGAGGGAGAGAAUUUGGAACUCAAUAUUUUGGGAAAUGAAUGUUAAAAAUGUUUAUUACAUGUAAUGGGAAAAAUAAAAUAUAUUAAAUGAAGUUCAUUAAAAAAAGAGAUAUGAUAACAA